rnacentral:rRNA from 1 species
AAUGCGAAAGCGUGGGGAGCAAACAGAAUUAGAUACCCUGGUAGUCCACGCCGUAAACGAUGUCUACUUGGAGGUUGUGGCCUUGAGCCGUGGCUUUCGGAGCUAACGCGUUAAGUAGACCGCCUGGGGAGUACGGUCGCAAGAUUAAAACUCAAAUGAAUUGACGGGGGCCCGCACAAGCGGUGGAGCAUGUGGUUUAAUUCGAUGCCACGCGAAGAACCUUACCUACUCUUGACAUCCAGAGAACUUUCCAGAGAUGGAUUGGUGCCUUCGGGAACUCUGAGACAGGUGCUGCAUGGCUGUCGUCAGCUCGUGUUGUGAAAUGUUGGGUUAAGUCCCGCAACGAGCGCAACCCUUAUCCUUGUUUGCCAGCGAGUAAUGUCGGGAACUCCAGGGAGACUGCCGGUGAUAAACCGGAGGAAGGUGGGGACGACGUCAAGUCAUCAUGGCCCUUACGAGUAGGGCUACACACGUGCUACAAUGGCGCAUACAGAGGGCGGCCAACUUGCGAAAGUGAGCGAAUCCCAAAAAGUGCGUCGUAGUCCGGAUUGGAGUCUGCAACUCGACUCCAUGAAGUCGGAAUCGCUAGUAAUCGUGGAUCAGAAUGCCACGGUGAAUACGUUCCCGGGCCUUGUACACACCGCC